CAGCCCUAAACGAUGCGCGUUAGGUGUAUCGGUGACCACGAGUCACCGAGGUGCCGAAGGGAAACCGUGAAACGUGCCGCCUGGGAAGUACGGUCGCAAGGCUGAAACUUAAAGGAAUUGGCGGGGGAGCACCGCAACGGGAGGAGCGUGCGGUUCAAUUGGAUUCAACGCCGGACAACUCACCAGGAGCGACGGUUACAUGAAGGCCAGGCUGAUGACCUUGCCUGAUUUUUCCGAGAGGAGGUGCAUGGCGUAGUCGUGU
rnacentral:rRNA from 1 species